rnacentral:lncRNA from 1 species
CAGGAUGCCAUCCUUCAGAAUCGAGCGUUCUGGCUGUUGAUCAAGAAAGUAUUUGGAUUCUACUCUAAAAGUCAAUAUAGGACCUGGCAAAAAAAGCUGGCAGAAGACUCUACCUGGCCCCCCAUAAAUAGGACGGACUAUGCAAGUGAUGGUAAAAAUGGAUUCUACAUCAACAAAGGCUAUGAAAACCAUGAACUGGUCCCAAAAGAAAAACUCAAAUCAGGGGACCAAAUCAAAGAACAGCAUUUUUGGACCAGACUCUAAUUGGAAUUGUUAUACGCAUUGAGCAGCAUCACCCUCCUCCAAACUAAAACAUGUGGAAGGUGAAAAGAAUGUACCCUUUUCUUUUUGCUGUCCAUCUGAUCAUCUGAAGCACAUUUCUCAGUGCACUUAGCCUUGCAACAGAGGACCUUGAAUUUAUCUAUUUUGACUAUAUCCUUUCCUAUUGGGAGAAAAAAAUGCAUUUCUUGGGUUAUCAUUUUAAUAUGCUUUAUUCAUAUUGUAUUGUUUAAAAUGCACAGCUCUUAGGAUAAUAAAAUUAGAAGUACAAACAUCAAUAGAAUAAAGAAAAGCUAAGGAAACAUUUGGUCUUUGAAAGUUUUACCAAUAUGUUAAUUAUCACACAAGUUUCUUUAAAUCUUACAUUCAUUUGUAUAUAUAUAUAUAUGUACAUAUCUUUUUACAAGAUAACUAAAUUCCUCCUUUUUGCUUCACUGUAUGGUUUUAAUAGAAAUAAGUAUUAACAUUUACUUCAGAAAAUUCAACCCUAACUAUGUAGUAAGCCAGAGUCAUGUGGAAGUGGAGAACGGCAGAGAUUUGUGUUAAUUGCAUAUAAUCUUAGCACAGGCAUAGCUAAUACCUAAGCAAACUCCACCAAAGUUUGACAAUUCCCAAAGUAUUGAGCUAGAAGGUCCAUGGUAGAUCCCCAAAAUAAUGGAAGGCUGUUAAAAUGUGCUUUUCACCUCAGAAAGCCUGGUGCUUUGAUUUAUUACUGACACACCAAAACUUCAAGUAAGUUCUGGGUGAAAAAAAAAAAGACAGGCCAAAUUCAACAUCACUUGUCUUAUAAACAACCCUAAGAAAGGGACCCAUGAAAAUCCUCUGGCUUCCAGAUGACCUUAUGCUCUACUUCAUCUUUUAAUUAUAUAAAUCAUUCCAAAUGCACAUGAAAGACAAGAAGGGUACAUUCUUUACAAAUAUAUCCUUCGCCCUAUCUACUUAUAUACACAUACAUAGAUAAAUGUGCAUAUAUAAAAUGUAUAUUUUUCAGAGGAAGAAAUUUAUUUCUGGUGAAUAUUUGAAAUAACCUACUAGGUUUUCCUUAGAAUAAUAAAUCUAAUUGUGCCAACUGAACAGAUUUUCAACAGACCAUAGGCAAAGCUAAUUGCUGGUUAACUAAAACCAGUUCCAUCCCAUAAUUGUCAAAUGUGUGCCUAAUAUCAUGAUAUAUGGAUUCAAUAUGAAAUAGCCCUGAGUUUACGAUCUGUAAUCUUUAGGACUGACAAUUUUUUUCAAUAUUUUAGCAAUUUCCUCCUGUAAAUAGCAUUAUAAACUAUGUUACUCAACCAGUAGCACAAAUAAAC